ACACCGGCAGCUCAAGUGGUAGCCGCUUUUAUUGGGCCUAAAGCGUCCGUAGCCGGUCUGAUAAGUCUCUGGUGAAAUCCCGCAGCUUAACUGUGGGAAUUGCUGGAGAUACUAUCAUGACUCGAGGUCGGGAGAGGCUGGAGGUACUCCCAGGGUAGGGGUGAAAUCCUGUAAUCCUGGGAGUGCCACCUGUGGCGAAGGCGUCCAGCUGGAAGGAACCUGGCGGUGAGGGACGAAAGCCAGGGGCGCGAGCCGGAUUAGAGACCCGGGUAGUCGUGGCCGUAAACGAUGUGGACUUGGUGUUGGGAUGGCUUCGAGCUGCCCCAGUGCCGAAGGGAAGCUGUUAAGUCCACCGCCUGGGAAGUACGGCCGCAAGGCUGAAACUUAAAGGAAUUGGCGGGG
rnacentral:rRNA from 1 species